UGCGUGUCGUUCCCCUUCUCUGGGAUGGGAGGCAGCUGCCACGGGCCUCUGAAAGAGGUGCCUGGAGGCAAAGACAUUGCAAGUCUGAACUUCGUUCUGGGCCAAGCUGUGUGCCCACAGGAGCGGGCAAACCGGGCUGAGAAGCAGCAAGAAGGACAAGCUCGGGUAGGAGAAAAGGGGCAGAAAAAGAGUGACACUGUGGCUUCCUUGAUGUUGCAGCACCCCUCUACGGCCCCUCCCAAUCCACAGAGCCUCUGACCAGCACCAGUCUUGCUGCCUGUGCUGGGGGCACUUGGAACAUUGGUUAGCAGGAGCAACAGGCCUGGCACUGCCAACUAGGUUCAGGGAAGAGAGAAAUGGGCUGAGCUGCUGCUCCUGGUACUACUGGGCCAUGGAUGAAGGCACCAGACUAGAAGUCCAGAGCCCUAGCCAGGGGCGGCAGGAGGGAAGGACUACCAGUUAUUGUGUACCUAUUCUGUGCCUAGCCCCGCAGGAGGCACUUGAAUGUUUCUCAUUUAGUCACAUACAUUUAUUGAGCACCUACCACAUGCCAGGCAUUGUCCUGAUGGGAUGCAGUGGUGAGCAAGGUUCCUGCUCUCAUAACAACCCUGGGAGGUAGGCCCUAUUGUCAUCCCCAUUUUACAGAUGAGAAAAUCAAGGCUCAAUACAGUUUCAUGAUUUAUCACAGCUAGUGAGUGUGGGAGGAGGGAUUCUGGGCCCUGACCUAACUCGUAAGCCUUCGUUUUUCAGGCUACCUUUCACAGCCAUGACCACUUUUCUAAUAGCCCCCAGGCUUAGCCUUGCCUCCUGGGCAGGGCUAUGGCUGCCCCUUUUGUUGGAGUGUUGGAGACCCUGCCUCAACUUGUUUCCACCCAUCCCUCCAAGCCAGAGCUUAGCCAUAUAACAGGAGCUCGGUAAUGAACCCUCCUGGGUGCAAUGCUGGGUGGUGACCCAGAGUCACCUUCUCCAUCCCCUUUGCACUGACAGCCACUCUUUUGGGGCAGGCAGAUGAAGAGACUGAGGUUCCAAGAGUGUCUGUCACUUGCCCAAUAUGGAGAGGUACAACCAGACAGUCCCAAGAGGCCCUGGUACCUUGCCCUGGCUCCCAAGGGAGGAACCAGCUGAGGGUAGCAUGUCCUGGCCCCAAAGCUGACUGCUACCAUGCUGUCCCAUGUCUCUACCCACUGUUCCCAGUGAAGACUGAGGCCCUGUCCCCUGCCAGGGGCCAGGCAACAGGGACACCUUUCUUCUUGCUUCUGGGCCAACAGCCACAGCCCUGGGACGCAGAGCCCAGACAUGCCUGGUGACUUCAGGGCUGAUGCUCCCUCCCUUCCUCCCACCCCGUCGCUCACUCCCCAUGUUGUUCCGGAUGGAGUGGGGCUGUGCCCUGACAGGCAGCCAGUCCGCUGUCUGGCCAUCAUCUCCUGUCCCUGAGGAAAUUCCCAGAAUGCACCCUGGAAGGAACGGAAAAAAGCAGCAAAGAAAGUGAGAAAGAAAAAGCAACAGAGAACAGACAGAAACGACCAAAUUUGAUGCCAAGAGGCUGAGAAGUGCAGAAGCGGGUGGCAGGGGUCCCCAGGAGGUUGAUUUGUCCCUCUCGUGGUGGGGUCACCAGAGCCUGGAGUGGGAGUGAAGCCUUGAGGCUCUGGCCACCUCUCCCUUGCCAACUCCAUGCUACCCCCUAGUGGCCUCAGUGUCAGCUGCAGGACCAGGACUGGGGAUGUCGGAGGGGACCUGUCCGGGCGGCAGGGAGCCCCACUUAUUGCUUUCCUAACGUUCCUCUGCCCCUCUCUCUGUCUGUUUCCCUAGGCCUCUGCGGGAGAAGAUGAAGCCGGAAAGGAGGAGACCCAAGGGCAGGGGGAAGAGGAGGAGAGAGAAGCAGAGACCCACAGACUGCCACCUGUGAGUGUGCGGGGUCCCAGGGAUGGCGAGGAGGCUGGGCCCGAGGGGAGCCCCGCCUUGCCGCCAGGGUUAGGUUGGGGAGGGGGAGAGGCAGGACUGAGGCCAGUCUUGGGGGCAGAACAGGGAGCUGCACCUCCUCAAGACUGUAGGGCCCAGGAAGCAUCAGUGGACCUUGGUUUUUGUCCCGGCUUAGCCCUAGGUUUCCAUUGACCUUGAACAAAUCAUUUCACCUUUGUCAGCCUAGCUUUUCUCUGUGUAGAAUGAGGGGCAGGAGGUCCAGCAAACAUUCAGUCACUCUACAAACAUUUACUGAGCACUUACUGUGUGUCAGGUACAUCUGUGAGCAAACAAACAGGAUUCCUGCACAUUAGUGUUUACCUUUUAGUGAUUAAAAGUCUGUCAUCAGCUGAGACGUUAUCUGGGGCCACUUCCUAGUAGCCCCGGGGAACAUGUGCCCCUCGCCACUGUCUCCCAGGAGUAUUUUUGCCUGUGGGUCCCCUUGCUGCUUCUAACCCACUUCGUACCUUGUGGGCAGCAGAAUGGAGCCCCAGGCCUGAGUGUGGCUGGGAGAGAAGGAUGAGAGGAGGGAAAACCCAAAUCUGUGAGAGUAAAUAGAAAAAAUAAAAUAUUUCACAUGCACAGUCAAUCAGUCACUGAAGAGAGGUGGCUCUCCUUCAGGGGCUAAGCCUCCCCCACGCACAUGACUCCAGGAAGUCAUUUCGUGCUAUGGAGUGGAGUUGACCCAAGCCCUGACCCCAUGAGCCCCACUCCAUGAAGACAGGGAUCCUGGGGACUGCGCCCCCUAGGGGUUUAUGCUCUCAUCUCUUUUCUGGGCCCGCGCGGCAAUUUGGGGAACAAGCUGGCAGGGAAGUCCAUCCAGGCCCGAGUUACCCGCCGGCAGCCGGAGGCAGCAAGUGUCCCAUGGCUCCUGUUCCCAAGGCAGCAGUCUUCAGACAUUUCACUCGGGAAUCUCCUGAAAGAAUUUCAAAAGUGGCCGGGCGCGGUGGCUCACACCUGUAAUCCCAGCACUUUGGGAGGCCGAGGUGGGUAGAUCACUUGAGGUCAGAAGUUCGAGGCCAGCCUGACCAACACGGUGAAACCACAUCUCUACUAAAAAUACAAAAUUAGCUGGGCGUGUUGGUGCAUGCCUGUAAUCUCAGCUACUUGGGAGGCUGGGGCAGGAGAAUCGCUUGAACCCGGGAGGCGGAGGUUGCAGUGAGCCGAGAUCAUGCCACUGCACUCCAGCCUGGGUGACAGAGCAAGACUCCAUCUCAAAAAAAAAAAAAAAAAAAGAAUUCCAAAAGCCCAUGUGCUCCCUUGCCCAUUCUUAAGUUGACAUUGAACAUUUUCAUCAGAAUUAUAAGUCAAGCCAGGCUCAGUACCUCAUGCCUGUAAUUCUAGCACUUUGGGAGGCCAAGGCGAGUGGAUCGCUUGAGGCCAGGAGUUCAAGCCCAGCCGGGGCAACAUGGUGAAACCUCGUCUCUACAAAAAAAAUACAAAAACUAGCUGGACGUGGUGCCAUGUGCCUGUAGUCCCAACUACUCAGGAGGCUGAGGUGGAAUGAUCACCUGAGCCUGGGAGGUCAAGGCUGCAGUGAGCCGAGAUAGAUCCAUUGCACUUCAGCCUGGGUGACAGAGUAAGAACCUGUCUC
rnacentral:sRNA from 1 species